CGGGAGAGCAUCAUCAGCCAUACUCGAGCAGCUGCAGGGACAUAUGCUGGAUAUGGAUGUAUAAUAAGAGGAAAACUCAAUCAAUGGAAUGGAUGGAUGCUUCUUCGUGCAACUAUGGACACCGUGUUUCUCCAAAAGCAACACUAUACCUUUAUUGGCAUUUACGUUGAUUCUGAGCACAGUUAUAGAAGUGGAAGAUCAGAAAACGUGGGCAGAAGUUGGGAGAGAAGGCAAUGCAAAGAUGAUGGACAUCAUACCACAAUAAUAGUUGUGUGUAUAAGCCUGAUCAACAAGUGAAAAGAGUCAGAUAAGAGGAAAGAGUUUGAAAACUGAUUUGACGACCACUGCUGAAUUGGCCUGCUCAGAGGAAGAGGCACUAAUGAUUCCAGAAAACAGGAAGCCAAAGAAGAAGACCUACACAGACUUUGAAAUGGGUAGGUAAUAAACUAUUAUUAAAUCAUAGCCAUCUAUCAACAGUAAAUAUUUUAACGCU
rnacentral:lncRNA from 1 species